UUUUUUUUUUUUUUUUUUUUUUGUAAGCAGGAGGACUCGAACCCGAGACAUCUUGCUUACACUCCCUCCCCCGUACCACCCAACCCAACCCUCCCCCCAUAACCUAAAUUUUCAAUCACUUUUCAACUUGAGAAUCCCAUUUUUUUUUAAAUCAAUUUUCAAUCACUUACAUGCAAUCAUUUUUAUGUACAAAUAAAUUAAAUUUCAUUUUUAAUAGUAAAAAUAAAUAUGAAUAGGGUCAAAUCUCACUUUGGAGGAAAAAUGAAUUAUGGUUUCAUCAAAUCCUAUUUCUAUAGGGAUAAAAAUGAACAUAAAUCAAAUAAUUUGUUUAAUUAUAAAUAGGAUCUAAUUUUUUCAUACCUUAAAAAAUGACUGUGUAAGGGUCACUUGCUAGAUUCAAAGUAAAAAGUGACAAAAAACUUAGGUUGGAAUUAAAUUUAACCAAUUUAAUUUUAUAAGAAACGUAAACUUAUUAUUUUAAAAAUAAAAAACAAAAAAUUUAUUUAACAAAAUGUGAAAUACUUUUGAAAUGAUUUUCCUUUACUCUAAUCCCUCCCUACGAGAUCAUAGUUCACCCCCAGUUUUUAGAAAUAGCCAAUUUAGUCCUUCAACCACCCAAUAUUUAAAGCAUGGGUGGCAACAUGUGCACUUCAUGUGACAACCAUCCAAGAAAGUCAUUUGAAAAAAUGAAUCCCUUCCUUCUGUCUCUUGCACUUCUCCAAAAACAAUAAGAAACCUAGCGAAGACUUGAAAAAAAAAAUCUUUUUUUUUUCUAACAAGAAAAGGGUGGGACAUGAUUUAGUGAAGAAUUUUUUUUUUCAACAAAAGAAGGGGAGGCUUUCCAUGAUGGACAACAACAGAUACCAAUUUAUCCAAAAAGGCUGAAUGGUGCCUAUCAGCUCCCUGUCUUCAAUUUUCUCAUCCGUGGAACGACAUUUCUUCCUUUUUCUUUUGGGUAACAUUUGUUGAUUUCAGGUUCAUGUACUUGUCUCUAUUUAUGUUUGAUCAGCUCUAGGGAUAUAAUCGAGCUAAGUCGAACUCGAAUAUUACUAUACUCGAAUUCGACUCGACCUAUAUGUAAGUCUAAAAAUUGCAACUCGAGACUUGACACGAGAAAAUUCUUUUAACCUCGAGACUCGACUCGAUAAGGUUCGAUCAAAGGUCAAACCUUAUCAAGUCGAAUCUAAUCAAAUUUUUUGAUUCGACUCGGAAAAUGUACACUUGUAAAUUCAAUAUAAAUUAUACCCAUAACGGUCAUUUUAUAAUUAUAAUACAUAUAUAUUAUGUAAAUUAUAUAUAUUAAUUAAAUACUCGUCGAGCCACAAGUCGCAAAUCCCUGACUCGAAAGUAUAUUCAAGUAACUCGAGACUCGGCCCGAACUCGAUUUGACCGAGUUCAAGCCAAAUCAUUGACCGAGCUACUUGAUAGUAGCUCAACUCGCUUACAUCCCUAAUCAGCUCCACGAAGAUUUUUGUGCCAACUUCAUCCGUAAUUUCAUUGUCAGAAACUACCAUGGACAUAGUGCACAGGCGUAGGGAGAUUAGCAUGACAAAGUUGAGAUAGUCCCUGUAUUAAAAAAGUAUUAAAAAAAAAGAAGGAAGGGCCCGGGGGGGGGGGGGUGUCCGUUGCUCUGUGAAUGAAUUAACUUCCAUCCGCGUGGGAUUAUUUCCAACUGAAAAAUUAAUGAUGUCUAGGGAAGUACAUUCUAUUGCGUUUGCGUGGUUUGUUAGUUUAUCAGGUAAUAUUGUGCAAAUCUAAUUCAGUGGAAUUUAAGGUCAGAUGUGGUUCACCAUUUGUAGCCAGGAAAAAGCCUUCAACGUUAGGUGCCCCUUUAGAAACCUAAAAGGGAGAAAAAUUUGGCACCCUUAAAAGUAUUUUAAUAGUUAUUGUUUUCAUAAAAUAAUAAUGGCCUUGUUUGGUAGAUAAAUUUUUUAUCAAAUUUAUCUGCUAUAUAAGUUUUUUAAAAAUUUUAAAUUAUAGAUUUCAAAAUAUUUAUAAAAAAAAACACAUUUCAAAAAUUUUUAAAAAACUUCUACAGUAAAACUUUAGAAAAAUAUCCAAAAAAAUCACUUAUCAAACGGAGUCAAUGUCUACUGAUCUGGCAACUAAAACUUUGACAUUCACGUCAAGGGGAUUAUUUCGUCGUGCAUUAAUACACCGCAUGUACAGCUACAAGAGUUAACUGGUAAUAAUAUCUGCAACAUUGCUUCUGGAAGGUCAUUGUUAAUGCACAAAACCAAUCACAAUAUUGUCUGCUAUUGGCUGGCUAGUGCAUCCCACCUAUUUGGAUUACUAUUUUCUAGAAUUUUUAUUUUAAAAAAAUACAUUAUAAUAAUUUGAUAUAUAUAAAAUAAAAAAAUUUAAAAAAUGAGUUCAUAGAAAGCUUAAAAAAAUUACUCGUUGUAUUUAUAUAUAAGGCAGUUCAACAAUAUUGUAAGUAAUCACAGCUUAGUCUCAGCAUAGAAAAUUCUAAAAUAGAUUUUGCUAAGAAAAUUAAUUAUCAGUAAUUAUAAAAAAAAAAAACUUUAUCUCUAGUACAUGCUAUUAACUGUGUCAAGCUCUAUAUAGCCUGGGUCAACAAACAUGAAUGUGACUAUUGAAUUUUGACCUAAAACAAAAAAGGUUGUUCAAGGAAAGCAGCCGAUGUUGACUUUUGUAGCCAUGUAGUCGAAUCAGAUCAUACCUUUUUUUUUUUUUUUUUGACUCGUAGAUGAUAGGUUAAAAGGCAACCUCGUGCCAAGUGGCACCUACUCUUCUCCAUCAACUAACAGACCUCACCUGCUGCAGGAUUUGGCAUGCAUGCGAUCAUAUCUCUUGCCUUAAAAACCCAUGCUUUGAGGGAAGCCAGAAGCAGAUCGAGAGAUCAGAUAGAUCAUACCGAUCAUCAUGGUGAUGAAGGGGUGUAAGGAAGUUGCAUUAGCAAUGUCUUUCCCAAAAGAGCCACUGGUUUUGUUGAAUGGAGAAAAAGCCGAUCGCAAGUCUGUUGGCAGCGCUUUUGCCUGCUAUUCAUACUCGCCGGAGAGACGAAUUGUAUGCGUCACCAGCGCCAACUCGUGCUUGGGUGCUCACUUGGCCAAGAAGCUAUUGGCUCGUGGUUACCUUGUUCGAGUCACCAUUCAGAAUCCAGGUAAACCCAAAAUUCCAAAUGACAUCCAACUUGAACAAUCGCAGAAAAUGGAUCUGAGUACAGCUUUGUAGGCAGUUUGCAAUUAUUUUGGGAAAAAAGAAAGGCUAUUGCUUUUAGCAUGAGUUCAUCAACUAAGUUUAAAAUCCGACAAAUAGUUAAAAGAAUUGAUGAGAAUGAGCAUAUGCACGAAUUACCCACUUUUUUUCUAAGAACUUUUUAUUAUUUAGGCUACCAGAUUUAGUUUUACACAAUUACAUUCUUCACCAGCUUCGUAAGUUAUCAAGCUCGAGAAGUCCUUUCCCCUACUGAUCACUUCACCAAAAGAUUUCGAGAAAACUAUUUGCAAUGUUUUCCCACACAGACAAGAGGAAAGCAAGCUGGACAAUAAUAAUAUGAGAACAAAAUAAAAAUAGCAGAUUCGUUUCUCCGCAACAUCUUUACGUUUUCUCGUCAACGCUCUUUCAUUCCAUUAUUUUUGGAACCCUGGCAAGAGGAAAAAUAAUAAUACAUAUCUCUUGAUAUUCAUGUUCAGACGCAACAAGAGCAAAAAUUAUGUUCGUUCUUUCUAACUUCAUUAUAUCUCUGGUAGAAGCUGCUAAUUCGGUAACUUGUGAGCAGGGAAUUACGAGGACAUGAAGGAGCUCCUGAAUGAAGAAGAGAUAAGCCAAUUAGAGAGAUUGUGGUGGUGGCAAAGAUGGGAGAUGUAGAAAGUCUCUGUGAUGCUUUUAGAGGUUGCCAUGGAAUUUUUCACACCUCCUCUUUCAUUGAUCCGCGUGGAAUAUCUGGUUAUACGGUUAGUUCUUUUGUCUUUUCUUUUUCCUUCCUCUCCUUCUUCGAGCAAAUUAAAAAACGGCUAUUCAGCACCACUGAAGUUUGACUGAAUUUCUAAUGGAAGUAAAACACGUCUUUUUGGUAGUACUACGUACACAACAACAUUUUCUUUCGAUGUUAAAGAAAGAAAGAAAAAAAAGAAUCAUUUGAACAUUUUAGGAACGAAUGGCAUUUCUUGAGGCAGAAGGAGCAAGAAAAUGUGAUUGAAGCUUGCGUAGAGCUGCAUACUCGAAAAGAUGCAUCUUCACCUCUUCCCUUCUCGCAACUUUCUGGAAGGGUGACGAAAAUGACAUUGGACAAGUCAAAGUAGAUGAGGGUUGUUGGAGUGAUGAGGACUUCUGUAGAGAAAACAAGGUACUCUGUUAAUUUAGCUACCUCGCUUGAUUCGCCACUAAUUUCUUCCAGAAAGGGUUUUUAAUUAAUCUUUUAAGUGUGACCCCAUUUGUAUCAAGAACAGCUAUGGCUUGCCUUGGGUAAAACAAGAGCUGAGAAGGUUGCUUGGAGGAAGGCACGAGAACUGAAGGUCAAUCUCGUUACCCUCUGCCCCAGCCUCCUGAUGGCUCCAUCAUUCCCAAAUGCUCAUGUUGAAACCUCGAUUCCUUACCUUAAAGGUAAAUAUAUAUACCACCCGGCGGGUUGACUAAAUUAAUAGUAUAGUUUAUGUUUAGUUAGAUAGCUCUCCUAAUUGAAAUGUACUUCAAUCUCUUGAUUUCGUCUCCAAAAAAAUACGAUGGCAAACACGGUCCAAGUAGCAGUUUUCUCCCACCACUGUUGGGGCCGUUAAAGCAAUACAUGGUCGUCUCCUCUGUUUCAAAUUGCCAAAUUGCGUGUUUUGUAAGUGGAGGAUGUCUUUGCAGGCUCAGUUGUCUCUGAUGCUAGUAGUCGUGUCUAUUGGAUCUGCCUUCGUUGUGUCCUAUGAGCAAUUUCAGAAAUUCCCGGUUUCGCCACAAUCAUUCACAGGUCCUCCUCUUCAUCCCUCCAGAAUUCUCGUUAAUGAUAAUGUCGUCAUUUAGGAAGUGUUGUGAUGGAGAAGGUUCAGACUUUAAACUGGCUUGAUACUUUUCUCGAAUGCACUGUUGGUUUUACAUUUUCUUUUCUUAUUUUCCCCAGCACAAGAGCCCCUCAAGAAACCUGCUCGCAGGCUUGCCAAACCAUUGAUAGGGGAUGACGGGCGGGUAUAUGCCUGUUCGGAGAAAACAUUCUAUUCUUUCCAUAAAAAUGGUUCCAUUGCUUGGACAAUAACUCUCAACUACUCAUGCAAUUCGCAUAUAGCUCCAGAGCACGGUGGGUCAAGAAAGGCAAGUUUUUUUGCUCAACAUACGACUCAAUUGUUUUGCUUUUGUUCCUUUUUUACAUGUUAUGGACAGAAUAUCAGCCUUCAAGUGCCUACAAAUUUUCGAACUUGUGUAAUAUGAGCUUCCUCCGGCACAUUGCAUUGCUUUCAAACGUGAUGUGUAUGUGUGUAUGUGGCCUUUUUUUUUGGGGUAUGUCCAUUAUGUAUUGAUAUUAGACGCCCUUUUGUUGGCAGAUAUAUUUGGUUGCAGAAAACAGAGUUCUAAAAAUCAAUCCUUUGAAUAAUGAUCCUUAUUCUACUGUACAAGAGUUCUUUGGCCCAGAACCGGGGGAAAUUAUUGGCCUCGCUGUAAGCGUAUCGAGUUCAUGUGUUAUCAUCAAUGUCAGAAACAGGGGGCUUUUUGCAUAUAGAUUGCAGGGACAACUGCUCUGGACUGCUGGCCCUGUACUUUAUCAACACGGAUAUCGUCAAGGUUGUAGGAAAAACAUUUCAGACUGUUACUUUUCAUCUAACCCCGUGAUUGAUCAUUGUGAAGCUAAUAUAUAUGUAAGAUUCAGGGAUCCUUAUGAGCUUUCUUAAUCAUCCAUCGGCUAUAUUACUUAAGAUAGGCUUGCUUUUGUCCAAAACCUCUGUAAAAAGGCAAAUUUUACUCGUGAAGAACCAAGUAAUCGUGCUCUCAUGACUCUGAUUUUAAUUCUUUGGCUGAAUAGUUUUACAUGUCUUGCUGUUUUCACUGACCAGGGAAACAAUUCCUCUGGAAAUGUCUCUUCCAAAUUAUUUUAGUUAUUGGUUGAAUAUAACUACAUUCAGUAGAUAUUGACUGAACCUCUUCCUUUGUUCAAUUUAUGACAUUAAAUUUGACUAGAUUUUCGGACAAGACAAAGGAUUGUGGAUGCUUAAUGUACGCAAGAUUUUUACUCCAAUCUGUUGUUACCUUGCAGAUCUCAAAUACUGAAGGAGAGCUGUAUGCAUUAUCAGUACGCAGUCCUCAUUUCAAAUGGAUCCAGGAUCUUAGUUCAUUUGACACGAGAUUUACAGUCACCCCUGCAAACAAUGGCCUCUUGUAUGUUACUCUCCCUGAUCGAGCUCUACUGCUGGCACUAGAUGUUUACACGGGAAGUAUUCUGUGGCAGGGAAGCACUGGGCCUCUAAGCUCAGAAGAUUAUGCACCGGCUGUUGAUUCCAAUGGUAAUGUAAAUUUCAUGCAUAUAACUUAGUAGCAAUUAAAUGCUAAAAGACUACAAUUCAGGCUCUAAAAAUUGUACUAUAGAUUCCAGUUUUCCUCUCAAAAGCACUGACAGCACAUUCUGAAACAGUUUGUGAGAAGAAUUUCAAUUAUAUUUUGAGAACUUAACAAUUAACAAGAAGUUUGAAGAUAUACUGGUGGAACUAGUGCUUUCGAAGGCUAUUUUUGAAGUAUGCAGUUGGUGUUCACAUGUUAGGGAGUAAAUCUGAAGUUACUGCUAUUGAUUGCUUCAUCACCGCUUAGAAGAUGCUGAUGUGAUAUCAUCAUUGUGUAUUCUGCUGUGUUAAAGAUGCAGAUAUGAACCAGCUAGCAGUACUUUUAGCACUAUGCCGAUAAAAUUACUUAUUGUUACUUCAACAAUUCACAGGCUGGAUAUCCAUCGGCUCACUGGAUGGAUUCUUGUACUCAUUUUCACCAACAGGCUCACUUAAGAAAUUUCCUGAAGUGGCAAAUCCAAGUUUCAUCAUCCAAGUUAGUCCUAUCAUAAUAUUGUAUAUUAUACAUAAUAUUAUGUAUAAUAUUAAUGUAUAUAAAUAUCAUCCGGUAUGGAGUUUAUGUGUCUCAGACAGAGAUGGAGGGAAAAGUUGGCCACACGAUUGGAGAUUAUAAUUUCAUCUCAGCCUCAAAACCAAAAAGUGUUCUGUUUACAAGAAUUGUUCCAGCUACCGGUGCCGUUGACUGGUUCGAGAGCUACCCUCCAGGUAAUCUUUUUGUUUGUGCACGGGAGUUCUCACCCUAACACUUGUUGGUUAAUUUCAAGUUAAUUGUUUCUAACAGGUCCUAAACAUUGGAAUCUAGGCCUAGUAAACAGGAUACAUUCUCUUUGCAGUUAUUCACCUUUCAAUUUGAGAUGGGAUUCUUUUUCUGACUUGCUGAGCUUCUAAUGUUAAUUGCUAUAUCUGUUGUUGAUUGCUGUCACAGGUCAAUUUUCACACAAGCUCUCUCAGAGUGAUUUGCAGCAAUUCAAGCUGGAUGAGAGUAUCAUUCUCUAUUUCUUUGCAGCUUCAAGUGAGCUUUAGAUCAUUGAUUUUCUUUUUGAUUAGUUUUAGGGACACAGUCUAUAAAUGUGGUGGUUGAAAGUUGAAACUGCAGAAUUAUAUUUUCAGUUGGGUUCCUUCAAACACCCGCACUUUGAAGGCACCCGCAUUGAGUGGGGAGAGAUGAUCUUUUUGGAACUAACCAGUUAUUAAUAGAGUAGACAAGUUGAAUGAAGCCCUUUUGAGCCUUGGAAUCAUGGUUCCCAAACACCUGAGUCUCUAUUAUGGCAACAACAGAUUUCCUCGGUGAAAAGAAUAUACUAUUUCUUUUGAAUUAAGACCGUAGAGGUUACAUCAGUUCAAGAUAUCUUAAAAAGAAUCACUCCAUUUUCCAAUUAUCACUAAUUUUUCCCUUAGAUCAGUAGAUUGUCAGGUUUAUCCCUCUACCCUCAAGUUUGAAGUUGGAAGUCGAGCACUGGUUCCCUAAUUUUUUAUGGAAUUCUUGCUUGUAACCAUUUGUUCUCAUAUAACCUAGCUCAAUUUGAAAUGUGAACAUCUAUUUUUUGGUUUUGAUGCAGGUAUUGGAAACUCAUUGCCCUGUCGCACCACACGUAAUGAUCUCUCACUGCACCAAUUAAUUGUUAUUCUCACAACUUGGAGGAAAUAUCGAAUAUGUGAUGAUAGUUGUUGCAUUCAAUGAUGUUCUUGGUCACGGUUAGAAAUUCACUUUUACCUUUCCAGGUCAGAAGUUCGCCUCCAGCUGCUCACAAGCUAGUGCCAAGAACAUCAGCAUCUAUGCAGGUGAUUUCCGAAUAUUUUAGCGAUAUCGACAAUUCAAAUAGCUUAAACUGCCUGCGUUUUCCUUUUCUCAGGCAAUGAGAAGACGAUUAUGUUACUUUUGUUGCUUGAAACUACAAUAAUGCUUACACUAGCAGCACUGGUACGAUAUUGCUGCGUAUUUUGGAAGAAAAGGAAGCUUCAAAGUCAAGGUCUUGGAAAAUUCCUGGAGAAGAGAGUAAGUGAAUUCCUUUCUUCGCAGGGGAAAACUUUUUGCUCGCAAGGCAAGAUUACAGUAGCAGUAGUGGUUAAAGUCGCUACUCUCUUUCUUUAGUCCAUAUUAUGAGAGAUAUUAACCAAAAAAGACUCCCCAACUUUUGUUGGGAAAUAUCCAGCCUAAAGCACAGCUGUCCUUUAGAAAAAUUAUUGUCAUUGGCACAAAAUUAAAAACUUAGAAAUAUCUUGUGUGGAGGUCAAUUGUGUAUUUGUCCGCCUCAGCAACGGGUGCUUGGAGGGGGGCCUCCCUAGCUCAAGUGGUACCAAGACUUCGACCCCAAGACCCUUACCCCAAAAGGACCAGGGUUCGAAUCCUGGGGAGGCCCCCCUACUAGCUCAAGUGGUACCAAGACUUCGACCCCAAGACCCUUACCCCAAAAGGACCGGAGUUCGACUCCUGGGGAGGCCCCCCUACUAGCUCAAGUGGUAUCAGGGUUUCAACCCCAAGACCCUUACCCCAAAAGGACCGGAGUUCGAAUCCUGGGGAGGCCCCCCUCCAAGCACCCGUUGCUGAGGCGGACAAAUACACAAUUGGCCUCCACAUCUUGCACCUUCACUACUUUCGCUUUUUGCGGUAACAUAUUUGUGCCUUUUCAAUCCAGCAUUCUCUUAGGCUCCAGAAGAAAGCAUUUGAUAGGAGCAUUACAGAACUUGAGCAGAAAGCUGCAGAGGAAGCUGUACCCAAUGAAGUGCUGGAACAACUGAGCGUUUUGGUAAAAGAAAGGGAAGGCAUCCAAAGGAAGCUCUCAACAACAUAUAGUUUGGGAAGGGAUGGAGCUGGUUUGCAACCAAAACCUGUCCUCCCUUUGUCUAAUGGGAAAGCAAGGAGCUAUUCUUUCCAGGGUGCAACGAAAGAAGCAAGUGUGACCAUCUUUCACACAUUCAGUGAUACUGAUACCUCGUCAGGUGGCAGCACGGAAUUUGGGGCUGACGAGGAUUUGCCUGAAGAAAAAGAUUCAACAGUCAAGGGUAAGGGAAAAGCACCUGUUGAAGUACAGAGUUCAAGUGAUAAUGAGAUUUAUGAAGAGGAUCACCGGAUAAGUCCAUCAAUCUUAGCUUCAAGCUCAAGCGGAUUUCCUGAUCGUGUGUUUAGUGAACAUUCAUUCAAUGAAAUAGAAGAAGAUGGAAAAACUGACGAGGGACAGAACAAAACUGCACAGAUUGGUGGCAUGAGCAUAAGGAGGAGGGCCCUGCCUUCACUAGAUUAGAAGCUGGAGCUUUUUGUGCUUAGAACCAAAGAUACCUCCAAUGUAGUCAGACUAACGUUCUCAAGACGAUCAUUCUCAGUGUUUGUUGCCGAUUUUCCAUCAGAUAUUCAUCAUAGAGACCGUAAACUCCAAUUAUGAUCAACAGAGGACAACUCGGUCAAGAAGGCUGGUUUUGCCACCCAGAAUGAAUUUCUUGAAAUAUGCUAGUAAUUUGUUAUCCAGAAAGAAAGGGGAAAAAAAAUAAAAGGCAGCUCAUAUAUCUAAUUGACUAGAUUAAACACAAGGAGAACCAACCAUUACUAGAGUAGUUAGAUGUGAUGGAUUAGGAGAGAUUUAAAAGCUCUUCUUCCGUGCAACUUACCGUAGAGUAGAUGCAGCUUACCGUGAUUGUUAAUUUGUUAGAGAUACUAUAAUUUUACUGAAGUGGUUAUUAUAUUCAACAGUUUGUCCUACUUAAAAUCCUGUAUUUACCAGUAUGUUCCAAAAAAAAGACUGUAUGAAUGAAACUAUAGGCUUUGAAAUGAAGUAAUAGGUUAUGAAAGCCAAAUUUAAAAAAAAAAAAAAAAAAAAAGAGUGACUUAGGGUGUAUUUGAUGAAAUUAAAGUCUGAAAUCUGAAGUCUAAAUCCAUUAAAUUGUUGAAUUGUUAAGUAUUAUAUUUGAGUACAUAUCACCUUUAAUAAUAAAUGAAUAGCAUAUCACUUAAUUUUAAAAAUAAAUUUUACUUAAGAAAUUCAGUAUCACUUAAUUAAUUAAAAUGAUCAAUUUUUUGUUAUUAAACAAUUCGAAUAUAUUAAGAUCUGAAUCCAUUAAAUUUAAGUGCUGAACUGAAUUAUCAAAAUAGGAUUUAUACUAGUUCUUCGUCCACUUAUAAUCUAGUCACUCGUGACUAAAUUUUCCCCUGUAUAAAUAUCCACAACAAAAACUUCACAGCCAAGUGCUAUGUUUUGGUAAACACACAAAAAAGGAAGGUGAAAUUGGAUAGUUUUAUAUUAUAAAUCAGAAUUUGCAAGUCCCCACCGUAUAAUAUUUUCCUUGUAUUUAAUGCUUAAGAAUCUGAAAAAGCAAAGGUACGGCUUUUAGCUACGGGUCUGCGACCAUGAUUUUCCUAAGAUGAACGGGCUGCGUCCAACAGAAGCCCAGCCCAGUACUCGAAUACAGAUUUGAGAUUCCAAAACGCGUUCGUACCCCAAAAUUAAAUUUAAAAAAAAAAAAUCUAAAAGGCUUUGGUUUUUUGGAAUCUAAAAUGAUCUCUCCUUCAAGUCUCUUCAAUCUUGGACUGGAGGAAGACCGAUUAAUGUCUCUCUCUUUCGAUUAUAUUCUUUAAUUCUUCCAACUCAAUUUAUUAGGAGGGAAAAAAUUCACCGAUUUUGGACUUUUGAAGACCUCCAAUUUUGCAUCAUUAUCCCGGGUAAGUAAAAAACCCAAUUGCAGCUCCCCUUUUUCUUCUUUUUUUUAAUCAUUAGAUCUACAUUUCGAAGCCAAUUACGAAAGUAAUGAUGCAAUUACGAAACCCUAAUCCAUCUGUUAGUGUUAAUAAAGAAUUUAUGUAAAUUUUUGCUGCUGGACUACGGCUGUCAGUGUUUGGCAUCUGAUUUCUGAUCAUUGAUUUGUUAAUUUGUGUUUUUAGGGUUUUCCGUUGGUGAUUUGUUUGUUAAUGUCUUACUCACUAAAGGAUUUUAUCUCUUAUUUUGUAUCUAUUGGUCUGUUGAUGAGCAUAUUAGUAUUGUUAAAACUGGGAAUUUAUGGAUGCUUGUUGCUGAUUUUUGUAGAAGAUGAGUGAAACAUGUGUACCACAACCUUUUCCCCAACAUUACUGUUCCAUGUGCUUAUCGACGGGCACAUGGAAAGGGGACUUCAGCUAGGAGGCGCAUUAUUAUCUGACCUGCAAAAUCUGAUCUAAAACACCAAAGCAUUCACAAAGUCAAACUCUUUUUGCAAUAUCGUCAACCUUUGUUUUUCUUUGUCUUAAGCAAGAAAGGAUGAUAAAGUAGCUAUGUUUGAGCUAGUCAAUGUAGUCAACCUUGGUAACUCAACGUGUAAUUGGUGUGAAGAACUUGCAAAUUUUUUGUUGCUAGCUUCUUGCUAGUGUAGUUGGUAACUCAAACAAUCUUUUCUGAUGAGUCCACUAUAUCUAGGUUUCUGAUUCUACUUUGGCCUGGGCUGUCCGUUUGCUGAGUAUCAUUUUUGAUAUGCAUGUACUUCUGCAUACUUGGAUUAUGUCUUUCUCAAAAUUAAUUUUGAGGUUCUAAUUCAAGAUUUUCUUGAAAUGUUUCACAAAGAUGUUGUGAACUAAUUGGUUGAGUAUAAUGAUGCAGCAUAAUUGCUUCUUUAACUUGAAUUCCCAAGAAAACGGUUUCUAAUAAUGGAGACUGAGGAUAUUAUCAGCCUUCCUGCUAAUAGCCCUGGAGAUGGAAGUGAAGAUAAUGAUUACAGAUGUGAGCCUGGUAAAGUGGAUUGUCAAUCUGGAAAGCUUGAGGUUGAAGAAGUCAAGGAAAUUGGAGAGAUCCUUGGGCACUCAGGUGACACCGCUGAUGGAGAUGAUCAACUUCUGCUGGCUACUGAAAAUGAUAAAACAAUGCAUGAUAACCCAUCCAGCUUGGAAGUUAGUUUUGAACUGACUGAAACUGUAGCAGCCACCUGCUUAAGUCCUGUAAGGCAUGCUGGUAAUGGUAGUCUUGCUCUGAAAGAUGAAAGCUUUCUCAACAAUCACAACAAAGAUGGUUUUGCUGUUAGUAGUCAUGAGAUUGGUGCGAUUCUAUCCCAUGUCAUCAUUUUUCCUUUUCAACUCAAACAAUGAAUCUAACCUGCAAAAGACUUGAAAUUCUGGAUCCAAAAGACAAUGCUACUUUGCCUCUAGUAUUGAUAAGCUCUUGAGUUUCCAGCUUUCAAUGAGUUUAUUCUAUAGGUUCCUAAUGCUUUGUUUCCCUUAAUUUUUCCUUCCAGUGUUAUCUGGUGCUAAGAGAUCCCGAGCUACUGUUGACGAGCAGCAACCUUCAGUACAGGUCACCUAUAAGUCCUUGACAAGGUAUGGAACCUUGUUAUUCAAAUUCUAUAUGGUUGACUAUUUCUAAAACAAUUCUUCCAUUGCUUGAUUGCUGAUCUCGCUUAAUUUAUCCAGAGAUAGUAAAAGAAAGCUUGAGGAGCUAUUACAGCAGUGGUCACAGUGGCACGCUCAGCAUUGCUCUUCAUCAAAAGUAACUUUCAUUCAUCUUGAAUAGAUUAUAUUAGUUGCUAUUUGCUUGUGUGCUCAUUUUUAAGCCUCCUGUUUGCUUAAUGGUUCUUGUGUCUUUCUUUUUGUGAUUAGCUUAGUAUUAUGUAUUGUUCUUACUUUAGUGUUAUGUCCUGCCUUAACAAGAAGAAAUGCUUUUUACCAUUGGCAAGAUGCUUUUAUCCCUAGUAAAGUUAGUAGAGCCUAUAAAACAAAUUUUGGUUGAUGUUGAUAGCCAGAACAUAGUGAGCUCUAAGUAAUGUAAUAAGAAGUGCUGGGGCUGCUAACUGUUUUAACAUAAUUUGCAUUCCGACAAGGAAAAGGAACAAUUAUUCAAGAUUGUCUUAAUAAGAAUGUUUGUUAGAUCAUUGCUCUUAGGGUCCAAUUCUUGACUCUACUUGAUUGGUAUUGGAACCAAAUUUUCUUUUCUAUAACAGAUAUGUUUGCCUUUUUGCACAUACUAUCCCAAGUGCUAAAGUGCUACUCUAUCAACUCAGGAAUCAAGCCAAGUUCUAGAAUCUGGUGAAGAUACAUAUUUCCCGGCUCUUCAAGUUGGUGUAGAUAAGCAUUCUGCAGUGGUAUAUUUGCUUUCCCUUUAGACAUGUUCCUUUGUUGGUUUUCAGUUGAUACUAAAUUAAAGAUCUUCAUCUAUUUUACUUAAUGCAAAAUGAGUUACCUGUGCCAUUCAGCUUGUGCAUUCCAAAAGUUAUAAAUGUCUGCCUGCCUCAUUGUGGGAGCUGAUAAACAGAGGGGGGGGGGGGCGCAAGCAACAGAAAUUAUGUAUCUCAACAUCUUUGAACAAGCUUAAAAAGAACCUUGUUAGCACACCAAUGAUCUAAUAAAUGUCAAAGUUGAUAAUAGUUCUCAGGUCAAAAGAAGGGCUGGAUGGGUGAAUCAGCUCAUUAGUCGAGGGAUUGCUAAAUUAUAAGCCAUAUUUUAUCACAAUGCUUGCUGGUUUUUUUAACUUUCAGUAAAAUAUCUACAGAAUGUUAGCUAGUGAAAGAUAGAAAUCAACUGCUCUUUGUUUAAUUAGAGUUAGUUUAGGACUCUCCACUGUUUCCUGUUCUUGGUGCAGUUUAAAAUGCUAGUCUUAUGCAAUUUUCUAUCUAGUUUCUCAAACCAAAAAGAAGGGAAAAAAAUCCACAGAGUUGGAGUAUAGGACUGUACUUAAUGUUGGCUCCUGUGUAUUCAUAUCUUCAGAUUUGUGUUGAGAAAUUGCGAUCGCUUGCAUGUCUUGAUAAUCUAAUACGAUAUAAGGCUAUUUCUGGAUUAAUAAUUUAGCUUCUUAUUAUGUUCCUCUGAAUAAAUGCAGAAUGUGAUCUGGAUUUGGAUUUUCCAUUGUCUAGAUGAGUUAAAUGCACUUUGGCAAAUUUCUUUAAUACCAUGUUCUGUCAACUUAUUUUAGAAAUUCUGUUUUCAAUGUAGUCUUUUUGGAUGGAGAAUGAAACUAGGUGCAGGCAGAACAAGGAAGUCAUUCCAUUUGAUGGAAACUCAGUUCCUGUUUAUGAUCGUGGAUAUUCAUUAGCUUUAACUGCAAUGGAUGGUUCAAGUAACUUGGGGUAAAGGAUUUUUCAUUCGAAAUUGAAUAUGUAUGAUUUAGUCCCAUGUGUUGUCUCCAUUUCAGUGACCAUCAGAUUACCCACAUAUGGAUAUUAUGUUGUUCAACCAUACACUCAUGCUUUUCUUUUUCCCUUUCCAUUUCCCUUUUAAAAUCUAAUGUUCUCCUUUGCAUGGCAGAGUAUUGGAAGUAGUGGAAGGUUCCCGUUGUUUCAAUUGUGGUUCAUACAACCAUGCACUGAAGGACUGCCCCAAGCCUCGUGAUAAUAUUGCUGUUAACAAUGCUCGAAAGCAACAUAAAUCUAGGCGUAACCAAAACCCCAGCUCGCGUAACCCAACUAGAUAUUAUCAGAAUUCUCCUGGUGGCAAGUAUGACGGACUAAAACCAGGCACUCUUGAUUCUGAAACACGCCAGCUUUUAGGACUUGGGGUAUGGUAGCUUCUGGGAUUUUCCCAUCUGCUUUUAAGAAUGCUUCAUGUGAACUAAAUUGUGGUGAAUUGGAUUCCUUUUUGCGGAUCUCGAACUGCAAUUAUUAUUAUUAUUUUUUUUAGGGGGAUGCCUUUUAAGUUGCAGUGUUAGGUUUCAUGCAAGUUUAAAAUUGCUUAUCAAGUGUUUUGUGACUAAUUUCUGUAGGAGUUUGAUCCACCUCCGUGGCUUAACAGAAUGCGAGAAAUAGGAUACCCACCUGGCUAUCUAGGUAAUCAGGCAUUUCCAAGGUCUUUGAUUUUUUAAAUUUUCUUGUCAUUAUUAUAUAGAGGUCUUUAAUGAAAGAAAAAUUGUUUUGUUUAGUUUUAACUUGUAGCCAUGUGUUUAUCUUCCACAUUUUGAAGUUGCACUCAGAAUGUGUUCUGUAUUUCUCAUUAGACUUUUUCCUUCCAAUAAAACUGCGUGCUUUUCAAGUUUAUAAUUGAGAAACAGCAAUGCAAUUUUUCCGCCCUGUUUUGUCCUCCUAUUUAGUAGUUUUUUUAAAAUCAAUUUCUUGAUUGGUUGGAAGAUAACCCGGCUUUUGAUGGUCUGAAUCUCAUUAUUUAUAUAGAUGACAUGCCAUCUUUGAUACCUAUUGACACGAUUUUCUUAUCUCUCCUCCAUAUUCUGAACCUAGUUGCCUUUAUCCUGUGGCCUAUAGAAGUGAAAAAAAAAGGGCUUUGCAUUUCAUUUGUUGGUUUUAUUGGUCAGUAAUUGAACUUUGAAUAGCCUUAAGCAGUAUGAUGACAUCUUGACAUUGUUUUUCAGAUCCAGACAAUGAAGACCAGCCAUCGGGUAUCACAAUCUUUGGUGAUGAGGAAAAUGGGGAAGAUACAGAGGAAGGUGAGAUUCUUGAUUCAAGCCAUCCUGAGCCAGCUAGAAAAAUGAGCAUUGAAUUUCCAGGGGUAAAUGCGCCAAUCCCACAAAAUGCAGAUGCAAUGCGCUGGGCAGCUGGGCCCUCAGAUCUAAAUAUGUCUAGAAAUCGUUCAUACAGCAGAUCCAAUCGGACAUCAGAUUCUGGAAGCAGAGGUCAUUAUCAUGAGCAGAGGUUGUCAAGGAGCUUUGAAGAUGACGAGCCUCCUCCCCCUGGCUGUGAGGUUGGUAGCCCCUCGUGGUCAAGUUAUUCUCACAGAUAUGGUGGCUUUGAACCUGGUUAUUCACCCCGGAGUCCAGGAGAGAGUCGAGUGCCAAGAAGCUCUAGUUUUGAGAGAUCCUUGUCAGCCAGAGCUAGAAGAAGCCCCGUUGUCCAUAACGAUUCUUUAAAGCAUUUUCCAUACGGUAACUUACCUUACUCAUCUCCCAGAUAGACUGGCGAAUUACAAUAUUCGGGCUGUAGAAUUAGAUUCCCAUGUAACAUAAGCAUGAUUCUUCUUGUGAUUUAAUGUGUAGUUGCAACGGCAUGCAUGCUGUCCAUCAAUGGAUGUAUGGCAUGCUAAAUUUUGGUGUGAAAAUUCUGUUCAAAUAAUUUCUUGCUGUACAGUGACUAGAUGACUAAUGACGAGACUCGGCAGAUCUGCGGAUACUAGUCUUGUCAUUUAUUGUGUAUCCUUUGGUUUAUGAAUUCCAAAUUGUCAACAGUAAUUGUUAGUUUAAUAUUGUAUCGAACGUGAUUUUCUAGUAGGAGCACACAACCAAAGAGGAUACUCUGUGGUCUUUGCUUGUGAUGCUAUCUUCAGGUAUCUGUACGGAGCUACGCAUGAGUUUAAUGGCAUGACGUUAACAAAUAGAUUUUGGGUGAAGAAAAAGGAAAACAAAUAUGUUGAAAAUUGUUGAACUCGAGAUCUUCCGCUUGCUUAUUAAACCGGUGUUAUAACCGAACUACGAGAGCAUGGCAAAGGGAUGGUUUGCAUUAUUAUGCAGCUUAAAAAUCUGCAUUGUCACAAUUGCAUUAAGAACCUUCCCUUUCCUUUGUUUGACCAACAGGUCCCGUAUGGUAUAGCGCAAGCGUUGGUGAUUGUUCCCAACCUAAAUCACGCAGUUAUCAAGCGGCAUCUAUCGCACAAGGCAGCUGAUCAUUUGAAAAUUUUGACCCCUUUACGUCUGCCCGCCAGCCUAUCCCCUCACAAUCACAAUGGAAGCCACAUGUUCGAACCACCCCGCUACCAAUCCCAAUCGCACAUGGGCAAGACUACCUUAAAACAGCCUGGACGCGUCCAAUGACAAGAACCCAUGCAGAAGACUGGAACAUAAAGUUCAACAUCUCCAACGGAAUAAUUUUAAGACCAAAUAACCAAUGCACUAUGAGAUACAGAUGGUCCAAGGAUACUGCAAGUUUGCACAGGGUGAAUGAUGCAGACGUUAUUAACACUUCCAACGUUUUAAGAUGGUAGGUUUAGAAUAGAACCACCGGGAAGAACGGUCAUAGCCCAAAUAGUUAAAACACCAGAAUUUCUAGCACUGAAUACGCUUUAUUUCUGAUACAAAUGUAAAAAUCUCCAAUCUCCUCACCAGAAGAAACUCUACUCUACUUCCUGCAGGUAAUCAUCA
rnacentral:lncRNA from 1 species